CAGAAUUCACUUACUUGGUUUUUCUUUGAAUUUUGUUCACAGUGGCUGCAGGAGAUAACAUUCCUUUGUGGUGUUGAACCGGUGUGAGUUGCCAAAUCCAAAAAAAUUGCUCCUACUGUGAAGUAUGUAACUUACAUAUCUCCAAAUGAAGAUGAGCUCUUUGCAAUGGCAGAUGCUCUAUCUCCUGGGAAGUUAUAUGGUUUGAGCGAAAGGUAUAAGAGCAAAAAGAGUUGUCCUCCAGAAUCUCUCAUCAAAAUUUAAAACCCGCAAUAGUUCUUUUGCUUGAGAAGGGAAUAAAAAUUGUAGUCGUAACCAUAGGUGCACAAGGAGUAUUUCUAUGCCCUAAAGAGGGAUCUAUAUUGACAAGAGCUUUUGUGGAGAAACCCCAAUGGCUUGGCAUAAAUUCAGAACUCCACAAACUGAUCUCAUCUGAUUGCCAUUCACAUAAGUUUCAUGAUGCCAGACAUAUUGAGGGAACCUCUCAUCUCUUUGCUUUGCAUCUUCCUGGCCUUCCUUCAUCUGUUAAGAAGCUUACCGGUGCUGGUGAUUGCUUGGUCGGUGCUACACUUGCAUCGAUAUGUGAAGGUUUGAACAUUAUAAAAGCCAUCUCAGUCAGUAUUGCAGCAGUGAAAGCCACUGUUGAGGCAGAUUCGAAUGUACCUUUGGCGUUUGAUUUAAUUGGAGUUGCAGGUGUGAAUAUUCUUUCAAUAAAGAUGGCAGGAAAUUUAUGCAUUCUUGGAUAUUAUAUCAAUUUGGUUUGAUUCUACUUCUUUUGUUGUGUCAAUUUCAAUAAUUUCAGUAGAGUGGGCAAGAAACAAAUUGGUGUAAUGAAAACGGGUGCAUCUCAUCAAGGAAUGUGACCAUGCAAGUUGUAGAGGUUGUUUCUGAACAUGAUAUUUUCUCUCAAUAGGAACAAGCUAAUGAAUUUGCUCAGAAUA